UUAAAGCUGUCUAUCUUUUCACUUAAACAUACAGAAGAGUUCUCUGUACAAUUAACAAAAUUUGCCCUAAUUUGCAUCUCUCAAGUUUCUCCUUACUGCUGUGUGCGCAAACUUGAUACUCGAUUCCCUUCAGUGAGGUCUACUUUACACUAUUUUUCCUGUGUAAUGCAAUUUGUAUUGCCUAUAGAUUGGUCAUCGUGCUUUAGCAACCCCAAUGUGUUUUCUUGCAUAUCCUUGUGCUCGCAGUGUUGGGAUGUCCUUUUGGACUUAUUUUUGAUUGUAUAUAUCGGAUGCUUAGUGAUUGAAAAGGUCACUGAACCAAAAAAGCCCAGGGUUAUUACAACUUGUUUUAUGUUUUCUCGUUAUAUGUUAAUAUGUUGUCUUAGUUUAAAUUAAUCUGGUGUAUUUUUCAUAUGGGUUUGGGAUAAUUUUCUGCAUCAGCAAAGAGUAUGUCUCUGCCUCUUUAUCGGCAGUGUCUUGGGUAGUAUCUACUUGUGCAAAAAUCACAUCUCCAAUAUUAUCUAUGAACUCACUUUUGCUGACAUCAUCAGUAUUACACAUAAUUAUGACAAUUGGUACCUUUUUGCAGUGAAUGGGUUUGUAAGCUUUAGGUAUUCUAAUUGUAUCCAAUUUAAGAAGAUUUAAUGCAUUUAAGAUUUUUAAUUGUAGCCAAUCAGUACGGUACAUAAUUGUAAAUUAUUUUGGUAGCCAAUUUAAGAAGAUUUUCCAUUUGUUUAAUGAUACAAAUUUCUUAUAUGCUACCCAAACAUAGUCGUCUCAUGAGAAAAUCUGAAUAUAAUAUAGCUGAUGACAUAAAUUAGGUCUUUCGUGUUGUAGGACGAGUGUUUCAUUAGCCGUGGUUUGAUUUUAGCUCACUUGUUUGUCAAUGUGGUCUUCCAAGAGAAUCAGAAUUCAUUAUGUCAAUUGUUAAAUGUCUUGUGUUAUUUUCCUGUUCAAAUUUUAGAAUAGUGAUAAGAAAUCUUUUAACAUUUAAGAAUGCUUUAAGAACCAAGUUCAACUACUAUAGGUGAUUUAUAGGAGAAAAUGGUACUCCCUUUGUUUCGAUUUGCCCAUCUUACUUCCCUUUUUAGUUCGUUUCCAAAGGCUUGACUCUUUCCUUUUUUGGACUACUCCUUAAUUCUAACUUUCCAUAUAUCAUCUUUAAAACCAAAAAAUUGAAGGACAUUUUGGUUCAUUCUACAUGUCUUUAGUUUAAGACCAAUGGAUUCAAAAGUCUUCUUUAUUAAACCUCGUGCCAAGUCAAAACCGGACAAACAAACUAAAAUAGAGGGAGUUUAGAUUAAAAGGUUCUGUCACACCACUAAAUCGUUUAAUUGUUCUAGAACAGGGCAUGCCAUAUUGCCAUUGGACCUUCUUGGAAAAUAAUUUGCACUAGCAAUUUUGCCAUCUAAAAUGCUGGUGUUUGGUGUUAUUUGUCUGUUACUAGACUAUUUGGCUCAGCGGUACUCAUAUUGGUUCUACAUAUUUUGCCGCAUAGAAAACCUGCUGAUGACAUGCUUGUUGGUAGUAGUUCUAGUAGUGUGAUAGGGUAUGGACCUUCAUCCCCAAAAUAUUCUGGCAGACUUUCACCUGCAAUCAACCACUAUAUGUCUGAGCAGCAAGGCAAGAAGUCAUAGUACAUUAUAUGCAUUCAAAGUUGACCAACCCUUUUGAGCUUCCCAAUUUUUAAGUUUUGCACAUGCAAUCUCUCUCUCACCCUCCCUUUCUUUUGUGAUAAAACUUUUUUUCCUUUUUUCUUCUGUGGUACUCAACAUCUAAUAUCUAUACAUCUUCUGGGAACUCCGGAAAAUGGUUAUUUGUGGUAGAGGUUCAACUCCCAGUUAAGCUCGCCUAGUUAGCCAUAUUCUAUGAGAGAAGUCUUAGCUCAAGCCCAUUCCUCCAAAAUUGGAGCUUUAACACUAGUCUUCAGGGAAUCAUUGUACCCAAUCUUAAGGCAAAAGAUGGUACUCCUCUUAUGGGUUUUAUUUGUUUUAUUUCCUACACUGAGAAACCUUGGAAUAUUUUCUAUCACUAGUCAGAAGUCAUAAACCUUGUUAUACAUAUAUUUACAACAUUUAUAUCUUUCUUUUUCUUUCAUAAUUUAGUUUCUAUUGCCAAUAAUAGUAAGAACGUUUCAGGAAAUUUGGGAAGAGAACCUGAGUGCUGCUGUUAGUCUUGAAGUUUUAGAAUUUUUUGAGAAGUUCUCACGGUCUGCUACAACAAAGCGUAUUGCUACUGAGUUGACUGUAUCACAUCCUUAUUUAUGAAUGUAUUCUCAUGAAAUCAACUGUUCUUUUUUUGGAAAGCACUCUUUCCUGUCUUUAACAGUGUCUUUGAACUUCACGGAGCGACAUUGAUGGCAAGAGAAAAUGAUCAUUUCUAAAGCAAAUUGCUUUCCACCUUCUCCGACUUGCAGUGUUUCAAAAUAAAAAUAUAAGGAAAAGGGUUGUAAUUGGGAUGGAGAUACUUAUUUGGGUUAGGGUUGUAGUGGAAGUUUAUAUAUUGCUGUUCCUGUUCACAUUGUUUACUGUUUUUAGUUUUGUUUCAAUCUGCAGAGCUUGUUCUCUUAUUUUAUGCAGACGAGAAGAUUAAGAGUCAUGCUAACCAUUACAUUGUCAGAGUUAAUGUCUGAAGUUCAAGAAUGUCUGAAGUUCAAGUAACACAAACGAAACCUGAUGGAAUACUAAAAGAAAUUUGUGAUGCUCAUCGUCUUCAAAAUUCUUUUGAGGAAAUAGAAAAUGAGGCUAAGAGUUCCUCCUUAUUAGUAGAGUCUUGGAUCCCAGUAAAUGCAGUGGUUACUGUUCACGAAGGAUCAGCAGAAAACCUCUGGUACUGGUCUGAGGUGAAAUUUCUUUCUGAGAGUGUUCUUAUGGCUCUUGAUGCCAUCCUGGAAUAUGCACUUCUGGCUCUGUUAUGAAUGUCGACAGAUAUGCAGCUGCAGAGAGCUUUAAUAAACUAGCGAUGACAUUUUCUCCUGUGCCAGAUCUUCACAUAAUGUGGUUACUGCAUCUUUGUGAUGCUCAUCAAGAAAUGCAGUCUUGGGCAGAAGCUGCUCAAUGCGCUGUUGUUGUUGCUGGUGUAGUGAUGCAGGAGUUAUUUAAUUUAGGUGAAAUAGUAGGAACUGAAAGUCGAGGACUUGAUUAUUUUUGGCCCUGUGAUGGAAGCAGGCAAUUUGAACCGAAAGCCAAUGACUUAAACAGUAGCAACAGGAGUUUAUUUUUUUGCUAUUUAUUCAAAUGUUAUGGAAUAUUUGAUAUCAUACUCUAGCUCGAUCGGGAUGGUAACUAUGUUUUUUGUGAAACAAAUAUUGAAACUAAUAUCAUCGGAUCUUAACUAA